CCCGUACCACUGGACAUCAGCUAGUUCUGGAUAGAGGGAGGAAUCCAGGAAACAGCUAUCAUUGUAGCUCCUAUGGGAGGCCCAAGAAAGGAGAUGAGACAGUUAGUGGAGGAGGAUGGGUUCAGCCAGGCCUGCACUGAGAAGGAUGUGUUCACCUUGACAGGGCCCUGUGCUAAUCACGAGUCUUUCCUGUUCAGAGCAGUGAGGCCUGAGACCCUCAACAGUGCUGUGUGUACAGAAGGCCCCCAGAAUCCACACAAAGGGGCCGCCUGAAACCUAGAGCAUUUGUGAAGGAGGAAAAUGGAAGGAACAACUGGAUGUUGUAAAUGUUUCUCAUCUGGCCUUAAAAUCCAUGAAAGCUGGAAAAUCACAAGGCAUCUGUGCACAUACUGGUGGAUUUUAAUGAGAGUCCUGUGUUUGGAGCACCAGAAAUAAACCAGCUUCAGAAGCAAAAACUAGGAGGAGGAAGCAGAGCUAGAGAUGGAAGGAGACCCAGCCAGCCCGGGCUCCAGUGACAUCGGCUGGUACACGCUUUUGUUUGCUUACGCUUGUUGAACUGAGUUUUUCAUAUGUAACUAACGAAUAGUGGCACAUGAUCUGAACGUCUAUGACACUCUUUCGAGCUGACACAGUGAAGAACAUGGAAGGAGAACUCACCCAGUCUGCCAGGGUCACAGAUGAUCAUACUCAAGAUCUUCCUGGGGAGUCAAUGGCAAAUUUCACUGGG
rnacentral:sRNA from 1 species